UGAUGACGUCGCCGGGCGAGAGCCCGGCCUCCGACGCCGGUCCGGUUCCGACCACGCGUUCGACCCGCGCACCAUUGCC
rnacentral:tRNA from 1 species